GCCCCUAACUCUGGGAUAACGCUUCGAAAGGAGUGCUAAUACCGGAUAUGAGCCUGGAAGACAUCUUCUGGGUUGGAAAGUUUUUCGGUUAGGGAUGGGCUCGCGGCCUAUCAGCUAGUUGGUGAGGUAAAGGCUCACCAAGGCGACGACGGGUAUCCGGCCUGAGAGGGCGACCGGACACACUGGGACUGAGACACGGCCCAGACUCCUACGGGAGGCAGCAGUGGGGAAUAUUGCGCAAUGGGCGAAAGCCUGACGCAGCGACGCCGCGUGAGGGAUGAAGGUCUUCGGAUUGUAAACCUCUUUCAGCAGGGACGAAGCGAAAGUGACGGUACCUGCAGAAGAAGCACCGGCUAACUACGUGCCAGCAGCCGCGGUAAUACGUAGGGUGCAAGCGUUGUCCGGAUUUAUUGGGCGUAAAGAGCUCGUAGGCGGUUAGACACGUCGGAUGUGAAAACUGGGGGCUCAACCCCCAGCCUGCAUUCGAUACGGUCUGACUAGAGUGUGGUAGGGGUAACUGGAAUUCCUGGUGUAGCGGUGAAAUGCGCAGAUAUCAGGAGGAACACCGAUGG
rnacentral:rRNA from 1 species